UCAUCUGUCGGAGCUGGUGAAUGGCCAUGUCUCCCUCAGCCAAACAUUGAACUCAUACUUGUAGCUAUCCUAUCCCUCUGGAAUAAGAAAGAAAAUCUCAACUGUCAGUUAGUCACAUGUUCUCUGCAGCCAAUCAGAGAAGCCAUCCUGUUUGCCGCCCUGCACCUCUGGGAUAGGGAAGAAGUUCUAACAGUUGAGAGUCUGGCUUUGGUCAGUAAAGAUGCAACAGCUCCUGUGUCCCUCUCCUCUUACCUCACAGAGGGAUGCCCUGUCAUCCUUUGCACUUUUGCCUGCUUCCGAGGACAUCAGAAACCUACAGGAACUGACCAAUCACUGGCCUCAGCAGUGACUCGCCUCAGCCUGUGAUUGGCUGAGCAUCCAUUUGCUGCAGGGCGGGGCUAAAUGGAAGAAGCAUGAAGCCUGGGGACAGAGCGCUGUACAUUAUACUGACAUGAACCAGCAAGUCGAAGACCAAAAGGACACUCUAUCUGAUAUGGAUGCCUAUGGACACGUGCAGCCAUUACAACAGGAGCUUUCCAGACUUGCCUGCUAAAUGUGGUGCCAAAACCUAAUGGCCGGAUCUUGGCAUAUUCCAUACUUAUGAGGCUUUUGGCUGCACCCUUUGUACAUUUUGGUUUCUGAACUCUUUGUCUACAAUAAAAAGAAAAAUCACUCACCUUGGGAGUUCAUAAAAUGCAAGUUCUGCAUUUAACUCCUAUUUAAGUCCUAUAUAGACUACUUGUAAAUUUACUAAAUUAAACA